GAUCAUGGCUCAGGAUGAACGCUGACAGAAUGCUUAACACAUGCAAGUCUUUGGCGAAGCUGUGCUUGCACAGCCUAGCCAAGGCUGACGGGUGAGUAACGCGUAAGGGACUUGCCCUGCAGUCAGGGAUAACAGACGGAAACGACUGAUAAAACCUGGUAAAGUCAGGCGGACUCAUGUCCAGCCUGAUGAAAAGGAAUGCUGCAGGAGAGCCUUGCGU
rnacentral:rRNA from 1 species